GACGAACGCUGGCGGCGCGCUUAACACAUGCAAGUCGAGCGAUAACCAUGGCUUCGGCCAUGGGGAGAGCGGCGAACGGGUGAGUAACACGUGAGCGAUCUGCCCUCGACACCGGGAUAGCCCGGGGAAACCCGGAUUAAUACCGGAUGGCCUCUCGAGCCCACGGGCUCGUGAGAAAAGAUGGCUUCGGCUUUCGGUCGAGGAGGAGCUUGCGGCGGAUUAGCUUGUUGGUGGGGUAACGGCUCACCAAGGCGACGAUCCGUAGCUGGUCUGAGAGGACGAUCAGCCACACUGGGACUGAGACACGGCCCAGACUCCUACGGGAGGCAGCAGUGGGGAAUCUUGCGCAAUGGGCGAAAGCCUGACGCAGCGACGCCGCGUGAGGGAAGAAGGCCUUCGGGUUGUAAACCUCUUUCAGGAGGGACGAAGCCACUCGGGUUAAUACCCCAGAGGGUGACGGUACCUCCAGAAGAAGCCCCGGCUAACUACGUGCCAGCCGCCGCCGUAAGAC
rnacentral:rRNA from 1 species